AAUUAGGCCGUUAAUUAGUAUUAUGGGGGGGGGGUAUUAUUUGAAUUGUUUUACAUUUGUUAUUCUGGGAGUCAGGAUGGCUCGUUAUCACAUAACAAAAUUAUCUGACCUCAUUAACCAAAUGUAAUAUCUGUUUACGAGUAGUUUUCAUACCUCGGACGGACCUGUUUAACAAAAAUCUUUUGACCACAUCAAUCUAAACUGACAUUAUUUGCUCUUUCUUUCUGCAAAUCUAUAUAGCUGCACAGUACUUCAGUUUUAAUUUUAGGUCAAGAGGGACUGUACUAUACAAGUUACAGCAAUAUUGGAAAACAAUUUUGUUCGCAUCAAUUUAUAGUGCCAGCAUGCAGG
rnacentral:lncRNA from 1 species